rnacentral:rRNA from 1 species
GACGAACCGUGCGAACGUUAUUCGGAAUCACUGGGCUUAAAGCGCGUGUAGGCGGGACGGCACGUCGGUCGCUGAAAGCCCCCGGCUCAACCGGGGAACGGGCGCCGAUACGACCGUCCUGGAGGGACGUAGGGGGACCUGGAACAUCCGGUGGAGCGGUGAAAUGCGUAGAGAUCGGAAAGAACACCAACGGCGAAAGCACUCUGCUGGGCCGACACUGACACUGAGAGACGAAAGCUAGGGGGAGCGAAUGGG